UACGAAGGGGGCUAGCGUUACUCGGAUUGACUGGGCGUAAAGGGCGCGUAGGCGGUUCGUACAGUCAGACGUGAAAUUCCUGGGCUCAACCUGGGGGCUGCGUUUGAUACGUGCGGGCUUGAGUUCGGAAGAGGGUCGUGGAAUUCCCAGUGUAGAGGUGAAAUUCGUAGAUAUUGGGAAGAACACCGGUGGCGAAGGCGGCGACCUGGUCCGAUACUGACGCUGAGGAGCGAAAGCUAGGGGAGCAAACGGG
rnacentral:rRNA from 1 species